rnacentral:lncRNA from 1 species
UGAAAGUCAGGUCGGAUUAAGCCAUAGUACGGGAAAAACUAUGCUACCUGUGAGCCCCGUCCAAGGACGUAAAAAGAAGUCAGGCCAUCACAAAUGCCACAGCUUGAGUAAACUGUGCAGCCUGUAGCUCCACCUGAGGAGGUGUAAAAAACCCGGGAGGCCACAAACCAUGGAAGCUGUACGCAUGGCGUAGUGGACUAGCGGUUAGAGGAGACCCCUCCCUUACAAAUCGCAGCAACAACGGGGGCCCAAGGUGAGAUGAAGCUGUAGUCUCACUGGAAGGACUAGAGGUUAGAGGAGACCCCCCCAAAACAAAAAACAGCAUAUUGACG